UGACGAAUGGCCGAGCGGUCUAAGGCGCCACGUUAAGGUAAACCCUUAAUUCCUCCUCUGGAUUCCGUGGUCCGAAAGGGCGUGGGUUCGAAUCCCACUCUUGUCAU